UAGCAGCUUUUCCCAGUGGCGCCAAUGC
rnacentral:piRNA from 1 species